GCAGGCCCGUUUUGAAUCAAACACUAUCAUUAUUUCGAACCACUCUUUCAUUCUCACUCUCAUUUCUUCAAUCGGUUAAGAGCAAUAUAUGAACUCAGGUUGGAGAUAGAGCCUCUGGAUUUGUCUUUCGCAUCUGGGAUUUUUUCAUUUAGCAGACUCUGAUCUUAUGGCACUUGACAGGUUAAAUUCUCCAACCACAUUUGAAAUGCCACUGGAGGUUUUGGGCCAUGAAUUGCAGUUUACUCAGGAUCCCAAUUCAAAGCACCUAGGAACAACAGUGUGGGAUUCAUCACUUGUUUUUGCCAAAUUUCUUGAACGGAAUUGCAGAAAGGGAAGGUUUUCUCCAGCUAAACUUAAAGGAAAACGUGUAAUUGAACUUGGAGCUGGCUGUGGUGUUUCUGGUUUUGGCAUGGCUUUGCUGGGGUGUGAUGUUAUAGUGACAGACCAAAAAGAGGUUUUGCCAUUAUUGCAGAGAAACGUCGAACGUAAUAUUUCAAGAGUCAUGCAGAAGAACCCUGAUUUGAAUGGUGAUAAUUCCUUACAAGCAAAUAUAUUUUUUCUAGAGUCAUUUGGUUCUAUCAAGGUUGCCGAACUUCAGUGGGGAGAUGAGAGCCACAUUAAGGCUGUUGAUCCUCCAUUUGACUAUAUUAUCGGCACCGACGUAGUCUAUGUAGAGCAUCUGUUGGAACCUCUGUUGCAGACAAUACUUGCUUUAUCUGGACCUAGGACUACAAUCUUGUUGGGCCAUGAGAUCCGUUCCACCUGUGUCCAUGAAAAGAUGCUUGAGAUGUGGAAACAAAACUUUGAUGUGAAGAAUGUUCCAAAAUCUAAAAUGGAUGAAACAUAUCAACAUCCAAGUAUUCAGCUCUUCAUUAUGGGAUUCAAGAAUUCAGCUGAGUCCACCGGGAACUCAGGUCAGGCAGCUGCCGAAAAAGUUGACGAUCAAACUGGCGUGGAAGGUAAAAGUGGUGAGGAAAAUUUGGCAAUGGAACCAUCAUCUAGUGUUGAAAAAAUUGUUGAGGAUCAUGAGAAAGCAGCAACCGGAACUAAAAAGCUUAGUGAGUGGGAAGCAAGAAGGUAUGGAUCAAUGGCUGCAAGGAUUCUGAAAGAUGUAAAGAUAUCCUGAUUUUGAGAGCUCAUAGAAACGAGUUUAAUUUUAAUACAUUGCCAAUGUAAAACGUGUUGAUGUUGUAAGUUUUACGAAUUAAAUCUUUAAUGAAAUGCCAUAGUGGUCAUUUCA